GUUUCCGUAGUGUAGCGGUUAUCACGUUCGCCUCACACGCGAAAGGUCCCCGGUUCGAUCCCAGGCGGAAACA